GAGUCUGCUUACGGAGUGAUGCUCUCCUUCUAUAGAAGCCUAUUGUAUUAAUACAUAUCUGUGUCUGUGAAGUUGUUGCUAUCUAUUUCAGAGAAGAAGUCCUCACCUGGGAGUGCACCUUGGAAGCACGACAAUUGGGGGCUCGUCCGGGAUAAAAACAAAAAGAGGAUUCUUCAAAUUGGUUGGAAAAGUUCGGUCCAAGGGUGAAAGGUUGCGUUGAACAUCUGGCGCCAUAAAUAAGGUAAGCAGACCAUUAUUCUGCAUUGACUAUUCUAAAUCAAGGGUGUUCAACGUCUUAGUAACCCACAGACCGCUAAAAUUAAUUAAUUAAAUACAUAGUGACAACUUCCAUUUUUAUAAAAGGUACAGGAAAUAUGGUAUGGUUUAUGGAACAAAUAUGAGGAAAUAUUUGUGAAAGUCUGAGUUUGGCAACUCCACCCGUGUCCUGACGAGGAGCGGUUUUGGCUGGGUUGAAACACCCGAGAAUUGAGACAUCUUAAAAACAAAAAGGUUAAGUUAAGGUUAAUAAGGGUAAGUCCUCCAUAGUAGAGGUAAGUCCCAGGUAAUUGUAGGGGUAAGUCCUCCAUAGUAGAGGUAAGUCCCCCGGGGUAAGUCCUCCAUAGUAGAGGUAAGUCCCCCGGGGUAAGUCCUCCAUAGUAGAGGUAAGUCCCCUGGGGUAAGUCCUCCACAGUAGAGGUAAGUCCCAAAAGGAGUUGAAGUCUCCUAGGUAUGACUGGUGAACGAUUGUAUUAUUGAACCAUUUCACACUAUUUAGGUGAUAUGACAAAAUAAUCCAAUGUUCACAUGACUUGUUGGUUUUGGUGUCAGACAAUUGAGCUAGUUCGAUUGUCCAAAGGCUGAGAACCAGGGUAUAGCGAGCCAUAGAUCUCAGCUGGCCAAAAUCAUAGGGAAACUUGAUUUUGGUGUCAAAUAGGAAUAUUACUUUCCUGUUUAAGGGUUGAGAACCAGGGACAUAGUGUCCCAUAAAUCUCAACUGGCCACAAUCAAGGUUUAAAAAAAAAAAAAAAAUGAAAUGAAAAAUUGAC